GCCGAUGUGGUGGAAUUGGCAGACGCGCUACGUUCAGGUCGUAGUUCCCUCACGGGAGUGUGAGUUCGACUCUCACCAUCGGCACCA
rnacentral:tRNA from 1 species